CCUGCUGGAAUGAAAGGAGUUUUAUGAAGUUGCUAGCUCUCAAAAUCAAGUGAAAUUGGCGGCGUGUACUAGAAUCUUUGUCUGCCCGAGACAACAUCAUUGUAGUAACUUCCGAGCAAGUCCACCUAUGUAAGGAUAAACAAACCGAUUCUAGAUCGCAAAUCGCUCAUGGAACCGGCAGGUUCAAAUUAUUAUAACACCGAUGAUAGCUACAUUAAAGAAAAUGAAAGCUUGGACGAGAUUUUGCCAAUUAAUGUGGACAUCAGCUGCAAACCAAAGCGUGAGCAACGAAGACUAUCUUUACCCGUUGUGGACACUGCAAGUGGCGCUAGGUUGAUGGCAAAUACCCGCAAAUCUCCUGGAUUUCAAGUGGGUAUAACAAACUCUUUCCGGGAAACUUUUGACAAUUCAGAUAGCAAAGUUUAUCCCGAAAGGCGAAGUACAAGUAUGCCUGAGUUUUACGGUUUAUCGGAAUUAAGAGCAAAGCACGAAAAACUUCAUAGAAGAAGAUCAACAAGGAAAGUUUGUGAAGAGGAAUGCAUAAAGCUUCCUCCAAUUUCUUGCAGCAAACCGAACAAUUUGAAAGAAGAUUUGUUAACCCCUGCGGGAUCUCUUCGAAAAAAAACUUUUUUGCCUCGCAUAGACCCUAAUAAAACGAAACAAUGUUUGAUGCAAAACCGAAAAGCGGACAUAUCUGAUAUAAGAUAUAAUCCCGAAGCCAUGUCAAAUUAUAAAUUAUAAAAUUAAUGAACAGUGUCAUCAAUGUAUAAUAAUAUUUGCGAACAUCAUGAACAAGUUUACCAACUGA